rnacentral:lncRNA from 1 species
AUAUGCUGUUAAUAGGAUGAUAGUAAUAUCGAGUAUAGAUCAUCGUGUGCCAUAUGAGUUGGUUGUCCUCUUAAUCAAGGAGUGUGGAGAUAUUGUUAUGGCAUGCUAAUAGAAUAUAAGAGUAUCUUCACAUCGAGCAUGACCAUUUGUCGAGCACUCUGCUCUCAAGAGUAGCUCAUGAAGGGUAUGGGUAUAAGUGUCCCUC